GGACAAAGAAUUCGCUAUGCAAGGUGUUCAACCGUUGGGCAAAGAAACCGAAGCGGUCAGAGUGCUAGAAACUAGCAUGCACUCCUUGAGCAUUGCUGAAGAGGAGCAGCAUGACUCUCUGGAUGAGGAGGAGGCGAAUUAUAUGAGGAAUAGCAUUAUUGACAUGGAUGAUUGCUGGGAGGAUCCUAAUCAGAAGGGCUUGGAAGAAGAUCGGGACAGCUCUGAUGAAGACUAUAGUCCUUUUCUUCAUCUACGGUAUGUUUCAGUUUCUAGUUGCAUUUCAGGUUGAACUACGGCUAUGUUGAAGGGUGCAAUCACAAAUAUUUUGGUCUUUCAGGAGAAGACAACGUUUUAGGAGAACAUGAUGCAGUUGUUCCUUUUUGAUCUUCAAAUUGAUUCUAUGUACAUAUCUUGCUGCUUUGCAGUGCCCCAGCUAUGACUGCCAACAUCAACCAACUCCUGGAGAUAAGCAUGGAUAAAGCCGUGCUUGAUGUGGCAACACCCAAUCCUCCAGGUGAGGACAUACAAGAAACUCCAGAACAACAAAAAGUUUCAGGACAACUUCAGAUUUGGAGAAUUUCCAAAACCACACUCAUGUAUGCAGGAAAGCGGUUUGCCUACAGCCCCCGUUUCCAAAACCAGACAUUGCUUGCAGCAAUCGAUUACAACUAUCACAACCACCGCAUUCCUGCACGUGGCAAGGAUGGACACCGAAUGUACAGACAGUACUUCAACAAGAAGUCCGAGCGCUGGAGUGUAUAUGUGUUGAAGGAGAGCAAAGGCUACCAUUACAUUCCAGACCUGCAGAAGGCCAUCCUUGCUGAGAGGCUGGGAAGUGGAAUGGGCCUUCCCAGAAUACAGGGUCUAAGGCCUGAUGAUCCCAGGCGCUUGGGUUUGCUUGCCGCAACGCAGCCUCCAUCCACAUUUGAACUUGUCGCGGCUCAGGUUUCACGGGGAGAGGGUGGUGCCCAAAGUGAAUUCUAA
rnacentral:lncRNA from 1 species